GAUGAACGCUAGCGGCGGGCCUAAUACAUGCAAGUCGAACGGGAACGGUGUCAACACUUUGUGAGUGGCGUACGGGUUCGUGACGCGUAUACAACCUGCCUGUUACCUGGGUUUAGCCUUGCGAUAGCGUGAUUAAUACCCCGUUGUUCUCUUAAGCGGCAUCCCUUGGUAGUUAAAGCUUAUUCGGUACCUGCGGGGUUUGCGUCCCAUUAGCUAGUUGGUAGUGUAACGGACUACCAAGGCGACGAAGGGUAGGGGUUCUGAGAGGAUUAUCCCCCACACUGGUACUGAGAUACGGACCAGACUCCUACGGGAGGCAGCAGUAGGGAAUAAUGGGCAAUGGACGGGAGUCAGACCCAGCCACGCCGCGAGGAGGAAGAAGGUGCUCUGGAGUGUAAACUGCGUGACAGAGGGAAGAAAACCCAUCAGCGGAAGGAAUUGACGGUACUCAAGGAAUAAGCAUCGGCUAACUCCGUG
rnacentral:rRNA from 1 species